rnacentral:rRNA from 1 species
UAGAAUUCCACGUGUAGCGGUGAAAUGCGUAGAGAUGUGGAGGAAUACCGGUGGCGAAGGCGGCCUUCUGGACAGAUACUGACGCUGAGAUGCGAAAGCGUGGGGAGCAAACAGGAUUAGAUACCCUGGUAGUCCACGCUGUAAACGAUGUCGAUUUGGAGUUUGUUGCCUAGAGUGAUGGGCUCCGAAGCUAACGCGAUAAAUCGACCGCCUGGGGAGUACGGCCGCAAGGUUAAAACUCAAAUGAAUUGACGGGGGCCCGGGGACGGGGACAUGUGGUUUAAUUCGAUGCAACGCGAAUAACCUUACCUGGUCUUGACAUCCACAGAAUCUUGCAGAGAUGCGAGAGUGCCUUCGGGAACUGUGAGACAGGUGCUGCAUGGCUGUCGUCAGCUCGUGUUGUGAAAUGUUGGGUUAAGUCCCGCAACGAGCGCAACCCUUAUCCUUUGUUGCCAGCGAUUCGGUCGGGAACUCAAAAGAGACUGCCGUUGAUAAAGCGGAGGAAGGUGGGGACGACGUCAAGUCAUCAUGGCCCUUACGACCAGGGCUACACACGUGCUACAAUGGCGUAUACAAAGGGAGGCGACCUCGCGAGAGCAAGCGGACCUCAUAAAGUACGUCUAAGUCCGGAUCGGAGUCUGCCACUCGACUCCAUGAAGUCGGAAUCGCUAGUAAUCGUGAAUCAGAAUGU